UGGGGAAUAUUGCACAAUGGGCGCAAGCCUGAUGCAGCCAUGCCGCGUGUGUGAAGAAGGCCUUCGGGUUGUAAAGCACUUUCAGCGGGGAGGAAGGCGUUAAGGUUAAUAACCUUGGCGAUUGACGUUACCCGCAGAAGAAGCACCGGCUAACUCCGUGCCAGCAGCCGCGGUAAUACGGAGGGUGCAAGCGUUAAUCGGAAUUACUGGGCGUAAA
rnacentral:rRNA from 1 species